UGAGGAAUAUUGGACAAUGGGUGAGAGCCUGAUCCAGCCAUCCCGCGUGCAGAAAGACGGCCUUAUGGGUUGUAAACUGCUUUUGUAGAGGAAUAAACCACCUUUCGUGAAGGGUGUUGAAGGUACUGUAGGAAUAAGCACCGGCUAACUCCGUGCCAGCAGCCGCGGUAAUACGGAGGGUGCAAGCGUUAUCCGGAUUUAUUGGGUUUAAAGGGUCCGCAGGCGGACUAGUAAGUCAGGGGUGAAAGCCGGCAGCUCAACUGUAGAACUCCUUUUGAUACUGCUAGUCUUGAUUGAAAUGGA
rnacentral:rRNA from 1 species